rnacentral:tRNA from 1 species
GGGCUCGUAGCUCAGUUGGUUAGAGUACUUCGUUGACAUCGAAGGGGUCAGCCGUUCGAAUCGGCUCGAGCCCA